rnacentral:rRNA from 1 species
CAGCCGCCGCGGGAAUACGUAGGGUGCAAGCGUUAAUCGGAAUUAUUGGGCGUAAAGCGAGUGCAGACGGUUACUUAAGCCAGAUGUGAAAUCCCCAAGCUUAACUUGGGACGUGCAUUUGAAACUGGGUGACUAGAGUGUGUCAGAGGGAGGUAGAAUUCCACAUGUAGCGGUGGAAUGCGUAGAGAUGUGGAGGAAUACCGAUGGCGAAGGCAGCCUCCUGGGAUAACACUGACGUUGAGGCUCGAAAGCGUGGGGAGCGAACAGGAUUAGAUACCCCUGUAGUCCCUGUCUCUUAUAC